CAGGUCCUACAACUAUUGUUGGUGAGCUCCAGUUUGCUUCGGAGCUUUCCGAGUCGGUUCCGUAUGUUUUGUUAUUGUACAGGAGUCAUGUGUGGGCGGGGGUUUGUCCCGACCCUAGUUAUGUCAUGUAUAUCCUAGAGGCUUUGUAGACAUAAGGAAGGGUAAAGUCAUGGAAGUUUAUAUAGUGAUGUUAUAUUUGUAUAUGUGGUGGCCCCGACGGCCAAGUAUUAUAUAUAUAUAUAU
rnacentral:lncRNA from 1 species